rnacentral:rRNA from 1 species
CUCAGAUCAGGUAGGGAUACCCGCUGAACUUAAGCAUAUCAUAGCGGAGG